rnacentral:misc_RNA from 1 species
GAUGAAGAACGUAGCGAAAUGCGAUAAGUAAUGUGAAUUGCAGAAUUCAGUGAAUCAUCGAAUCUUUGAACGCACCUUGCGCCUUUUGGUAUUCCGAAAGGCACACCUGUUUGAGCGUCAUGAAUACCUCAAUCUCCAUCUUUUCUUCGGAUUGAUGGGUGACUUGGAUGUUGAGCCCUGCUGGUAUGCUAUAUCAACUGGCUUUAAACUUAUUAGCCGGCUCUGUACUGGAUCGGUUUGACUCGACGUGAUAAUAUUAUCGUUGAGGAUGCAUGUCUCAUGCAGCCGGAAAGUAUCAAAGCAGCUUCUAGCUUGCCUUUAGUGCACUUUUACAUUUUAGACCUCAGAUCAGGUGGGACUACCCGCUGAACUUAAGCAUAUCAAUAAGCGGAGGA